AUGUAUUAUACAACUUGAAAAAAAACAAUAAAAAACAUUUAGAAACAAUAAAGGCAUACAAUAAGGCGGCUCUCAUGGACUGUGAGAUGGGCAACCCCCUGGGGGCAAUCUGAACUAUCUAUCAAAGCCCAAUGAGCUCCUAAGCGUACUUCCAGAAUUUUUUCCUUCAAAUAUUCCGCUCCGUGGACUCAGAGACACAGGUACAGGUAUGUUGCUCACCUGUAAUCCCAGCAACUUCGAGGCAGAAGCAGGAGGAUUGCAAGUUCAAGACCAGCCUUGGCAACUUGGCAAGACUCUCCACAACUUAGUGAGAUCUUGUCUCAAAAUAAAAAGAACUGAAAUGUAGCUCAGUGUGAAAGCUGGGCCUGAUUUUCAGUAUACAUUUUUUUUUAAAGAGAGAGAGAAUUUUUUAAUAUUUAUUUUUUUAGUUUUCGGCAGACACAACAUCUUUGUAUGUGGUGCUGAGGAUCGAACCCCGGCGGCACGCAUACCAGGCCAGCACGCUACCGCUUGAACUACAUCCCCAGCCCAGUAUACAUAUUUUUUAAAAAAUAAUCUUGCCUAUUUGCAAGGUACAGAGUUGUAGAUCUCUUAUCCUGGUCCUCCUGAAAACCUUGUAAAACUUGACUGCAAAGUGAGGUAAAGAAAGAAGGAAAAUUAGGUUCUUUUCACUCAUCAAUUUACAGGACCAAACAAGAGGUUUAUACCAAUAAUAGGCUGCUCACGCUGGCUGCAAAUGCGGUGAGAGUCUCCACAUGAUUUAACUGGAUGCCACAGCAGGCCUCUAGAGGGCGCUUUGCAUGAACGAUCUCGAGCUUCGGAGAAGAAAAGGGGAAGGGGCUGGGGAUAGAAGAUCAAGCCCCACGACCACCAGGUUAAGAUUCCCUAAAAGUUGCCUUCAAGGAAACAGUGUCCCCAGAAGGAAGAAAACUAAGGAAAAGGAAAUUUGAAAGCUAUGUGCUCUCUCAUCACCGAAGAGGAAAUUUACAGAUAACUGCAAAUGAGUGUGUCAUAUGAAUGUCCCCAGCCCAGGCCCUUGGGAAUGCUCCACUGACUGCUUCUGAGCAGCUGUGAUCACAUUCAGCACAGACUGCCCACUGCUGGCUAAGAGUGCUGUUGCUUCCAGAGAAUGUCCUGCCUGGUAUGAUGGCACAUGACUGUAACCCCAUCUCCUUGGGAGGCAGAGACAGAAGGAUCACAAGUUUGAGGCCAGCCUCAGCAAUUUGGAGACACUGUAUCU